GGUGGUGCGGUGGGACAGUGCAUCUGGCUGUUAACCAGAAGGUUGGUGGUUCAAGCCCACCCAGGGACA